rfam:Gossypium raimondii Chr03_contig_24, whole genome shotgun sequence.
UUAUUGACAUUUCAUCAAUUUCUAUUGUUAAAAAGUGUCAUGAUUAAUGGAAUAUAUUGACGGUUACAUAUGGUGGACCACGUAUACUAACGUACAUAGAUCAUAUUUUAACAGUAAAAAUGGAUGAAAUUUUUAUCA